rnacentral:lncRNA from 1 species
AUUGGUCCCUCGACGCUUCGUCCGAUUCUUCGGUGCAUCGUCCUUUCCUGCAGCCUAUUGCCCAAUCGGCCUGUUGACUCCGCAACUCCGAUAUCCUUGGCACAAUACCCGCUCUUCUUGGCCCGAUGCCCGAGUCCACAACCCGAAGCCUUCUGUCGAUACGUCGACCGAUCCACCGGCCCGACGUCCAAUCUUCUGACAUGUU